GGUUCCGUAGUGUAGUGGUUAUCACGUUCGCUUUACACGCGAAAGGUCUCCGGUUCGAUCCCGGACGGAACCA